rnacentral:rRNA from 1 species
UAGCCGCGUAAUACGAAGGGGGCUAGCGUUGCUCGGAAUCACUGGGCGUAAAGGGUGCGUAGGCGGGUUUUUAAGUCAGAGGUGAAAUCCUGGAGCUCAACUCCAGAACUGCCCUUGAUACUGAAAGUCUUGAGUAUGGGAGAGGUGAGUGGAACUGCGAGUGUAGAGGUGAAAUUCGUAGAUAUUCGCAAGAACACCAGUGGCGAAGGCGGCUCACUGGCCCAUAACUGACGCUGAGGCACGAAAGCGUGGGGAGCAAACAGGAUUAGAUACCCCUGUAGUCCCUGUCUCUUAUACACAU